rnacentral:rRNA from 1 species
CAAGGCUGAGGUGUGAUGACGAGGCACUACGGUGCUGAAGUAACAAAUGCCCUGCUUCCAGGAAAAGCCUCUAAGCAUCAGGUAACAUCAAAUCGUACCCCAAACCGACACAGGUGGUCAGGUAGAGAAUACCAAGGCGCUUGAGAGAACUCGGGUGAAGGAACUAGGCAAAAUGGUGCCGUAACUUCGGGAGAAGGCACGCUGGUGUGUAGGUGAAGUCCCUGCGGAUGGAGCUGAGACCAGUCGAAGAUACCAGCUGGCUGCAACUGUUUAUUAAAAACACAGCACUGUGCAAACACGAAAGUGGACGUAUACGGUGUGACGCCUGCCCGGUGCCGGAAGGUUAAUUGAUGGGGUUAUCCGUAAGGAGAAGCUCUUGAUCGAAGCCCCGGUAAACGGCGGCCGUAACUAUAACGGUCCUAAGGUAGCGAAAUUCCUUGUCGGGUAAGUUCCGACCUGCACGAAUGGCGUAAUGAUGGCCAGGCUGUCUCCACCCGAGACUCAGUGAAAUUGAACUCGCUGUGAAGAUGCAGUGUACCCGCGGCAAGACGGAAAGACCCCGUGAACCUUUACUAUAGCUUGACACUGAACAUUGAGCCUUGAUGUGUAGGAUAGGUGGGAGGCUUUGAAGCGUGGACGCCAGUCUGCGUGGAGCCAACCUUGAAAUACCACCCUUUAAUGUUUGAUGUUCUAACGUUGGCCCCUUACCGGGGUUGCGGACAGUGUCUGGUGGGUAGUUUGACUGGGGCGGUCUCCUCCCAAAGCGUAACGGAGGAGCACGAAGGUUAGCUAAUCCUGGUCGGACAUCAGGAGGUUAGUGCAAUGGCAUAAGCUAGCUUGACUGCGAGCGUGACGGCGCGAGCAGGUGCGAAAGCAGGUCAUAGUGAUCCGGUGGUUCUGAAUGGAAGGGCCAUCGCUCAACGGAUAAAAGGUACUCCGGGGAUAACAGGCUGAUACCGCCCAAGAGUUCAUAUCGACGGCGGUGUUUGGCACCUCGAUGUCGGCUCAUCACAUCCUGGGGCUGAAGUAGGUCCCAAGGGUAUGGCUGUUCGCCAUUUAAAGUGGUACGCGAGCUGGGUUUAGAACGUCGUGAGACAGUUCGGUCCCUAUCUGCCGUGGGCGCUGGAGAAUUGAGGGGGGCUGCUCCUAGUACGAGAGGACCGGAGUGGACGCAUCACUGGUGUUCGGGUUGUCAUGCCAAUGGCACUGCCCGGUAGCUAAAUGCGGAAGAGAUAAGUGCUGAAAGCAUCUAAGCACGAAACUUGCCCCGAGAUGAGUUCUCCCUGAGACUUUAAGUCUCCUGAAGGAACGUU